rnacentral:rRNA from 1 species
AGUGAACGCUGGCGGUAGGCCUAACACAUGCAAGUCGAACGGCAGCACAGUAAGAGCUUGCUCUUACGGGUGGCGAGUGGCGGACGGGUGAGGAAUACAUCGGAAUCUACUUUUUCGUGGGGGAUAACGUAGGGAAACUUACGCUAAUACCGCAUACGACCUACGGGUGAAAGCAGGGGAUCUUCGGACCUUGCGCGAUUGAAUGAGCCGAUGUCGGAUUAGCUAGUUGGCGGGGUAAAGGCCCACCAAGGCGACGAUCCGUAGCUGGUCUGAGAGGAUGAUAACCAACACGGAACUGGAGACAGGGUCCAGCCCCCAGGGGGAGGAGGCAGUGGGGAAUUGGGGACAAGGGGCGCAGGCCGAACCCAGCAAUCCGGGGGGGGUGAAGAAGGCUUGGGGGUUGUAAAGCCCUUUUGUGGGGAAAAAAAAGAAGCAGUUUAAUCCCCCGCUGUUCGGACGUCCCCAAAAGAAAAAGCCCCGGCUAACUUCGUG